GAACGGAAAGGCCCUGCUUGCAGGGUACUCGAGUGGCGAACGGGUGAGUAACACGUGGGUGAUCUGCCCUGCACUUCGGGAUAAGCUUGGGAAACUGGGUCUAAUACCGGAUAGGAACCAUCUUUAGUGUGGUGGUUGGAAAGUUUUUUCGGUGUAGGAUGAGCUCGCGGCCUAUCAGCUUGUUGGUGGGGUAAUGGCCUACCAAGGCGGCGACGGGUAGCCGGCCUGAGAGGGUGUACGGCCACAUUGGGACUGAGAUACGGCCCAGACUCCUACGGGAGGCAGCAGUGGGGAAUAUUGCACAAUGGGCGCAAGCCUGAUGCAGCGACGCCGCGUGGGGGAUGAAGGCCUUCGGGUUGUAAACUCCUUUCGCUAGGGACGAAGCUUUUUGUGACGGUACCUAGAUAAGAAGCACCGGCUAACUACGUGCCAGCAGCCGCGGUAAUACGUAGGGUGCGAGCGUUGUCCGGAAUUACUGGGCGUAAAGGGCUCGUAGGUGGUUUGUCGCGUCGUCUGUGAAAUUCUGGGGCUUAACUCCGGGCGUGCAGGCGAUACGGGCAUAACUUGAGUGCUGUAGGGGUAACUGGAAUUCCUGGUGUAGCGGUGAAAUGCGCAGAUAUCAGGAGGAACACCGAUGGCGAAGGCAGGUUACUGGGCAGUUACUGACGCUGAGGAGCGAAAGC
rnacentral:rRNA from 1 species